rnacentral:rRNA from 1 species
GGGCUGCAGUGGGGAAUUUUGGACAAUGGGCGAAAGCCUGAUCCAGCCAUGCCGCGUGCAGGAUGAAGGCCUUCGGGUUGUAAACUGCUUUUGUACGGAACGAAAAGGUCUUUUCUAAUAAAGAAGGCUCAUGACGGUACCGUAAGAAUAAGCACCGGCUAACUACGUGCCAGCAGCCGCGGUAAUACGUAGGGUGCAAGCGUUAAUCGGAAUUACUGGGCGUAAAGCGUGCGCAGGCGGUUAUAUAAGACAGAUGUGAAAUCCCCGGGCUCAACCUGGGAACUGCAUUAGUGACUGUAUAGCUAGAGUGCGGCAGAGGGGGAUGGAAUUCCGCGUGUAGCAGUGAAAUGCGUAGAUAUGCGGAGGAACACCGAUGGCGAAGGCAAUCCCCUGGGCCUGCACUGACGCUCAUGCACGAAAGCGUGGGGAGCAAACAGGAUUAGAUACCCUUGUAGUC